UUACAGGGAGAGUAUCUUCUGGUCCUAGAAAAGCAUACUUAAGAGUUGUCGGAAGUGGCUUCAACUCAAGUUUAGGUGGAGAAUCAAUGGAAGGACAAAGUGGUGCGUGUUGCCCAAGGUGACAAGCCAAGAGGGGGGGGUGAAUUGGUUUCUUCUAAUUUUCGGUGCUUUAAACGUUUUCUCAAAUAAGUGCGGUGGAUGCUUUCUUAAGCUAUUAGAAUGAUUUAAACUAGUGCAAAGAUAGAAGAUGAUGCAAGAAUAAAUGGAAACACAAGCACAACACAAACACAACAAUAUAUAGUGGUUCGGUGCUCUCCUUAGCACCUACGUCCACUCUCCAAGCGUCCCCUUGGGAAUUCACUAUAAUCUCGCGGAUUACAGUUGGAUUGUUUUUCGGGCUCACAAUCCAAAAAUCUUGUUGGUUUUACGGGCUCACCAACGAACCUAUACACUUUGGUUUUCCGGGUUCACCAAAAACCUUUGUUGGUUUUACGGGCUCACCAACGAACCUAUACACUUUG
rnacentral:lncRNA from 1 species